GAUGAACGCUAGCGGCAGGCUUAACACAUGCAAGUCGAGGGGCAGCAUGAAGGUUAGCAAUAACCUUUGAUGGCGACCGGCGCAAGGGUGCGUAACGCGUGAGCAACUUGCCCGUUUCUGGGGAAUAACCGGUGGAAACGCCGACUAAUACCCCAUAGCAUCAGAAUGAGGCAUCUCAAUCUGAUUAAAGAAAUUCGGAAACGGAUAGGCUCGCGUGACAUUAGCUAGAUGGCGGGGUAACGGCCCACCAUGGCUACGAUGUCUAGGGGUUCUGAGAGGAAGGUCCCCCACACUGGAACUGAGACACGGUCCAGACUCCUACGGGAGGCAGCAGUGAGGAAUAUUGGUCAAUGGUCUGACGACUGAACCAGCCAUGCCGCGUGAAGGUCACGGCCCUAUGGGUCUUAAACUUCUUUUGUAAGGGAGCAAUAAGUCUCACGUGUGGGAUGAUGAGAGUACCUUACGAAUAAGCAUCGGCUAACUCCGUG
rnacentral:rRNA from 1 species